AACGAACGCUGGCGGCAUGCCUAACACAUGCAAGUCGAACGAGACCUUCGGGACUAGUGGCGCCCGGGUGCGUAACGCGUGGGAACCUGCCCUUAGGUUCGGAAUAACUCUCCGAAUGGGGUGCUAAUACCGGAUAAUGUCUUCUGACCAAAGAUUUAUCGCCUUUGGUUGGGCCCGCGUUGGAUUAGCUAGUUGGUAGGGUAAAAGCCUACUACGGCGCCGAUCCAUAGCUGGUCUGAGAGAAUGAUCAGCCACACUUAGAUUAGGACGCGGCCGGGACUCCUACGGGAGGCGGCAGUGGGGGAUAUUGGACAAUGGGCUAAAGCCUGAUGCAGCUAUGAUGCGAGAGUGAUGAAGGCAGUGAGGUUGUAAAGCUCAUUUACCCGGGAUGAUAAUGACGGUACCGGAAGAAUAAGCCCCGGCUAACUCCGUG
rnacentral:rRNA from 1 species